GAUGAAGAACGUAGCGAAAUGCGAUACUUGGUGUGAAUUGCAGAAUCCCGUGAACCAUCGAGUCUUUGAACGCAAGUUGCGCCCGAAGCCAUUAGGCCGAGGGCACGCCUGCCUGGGUGUCACACACCGUUACCCUCGCGCCAACGUCCAUCGUUGGCCGCGGCGCGGGGCGUGCGCUGACCUCCCGCGAGCGGGGUCUCGUGGUUGGUUGAAAAUCGAGUUCGCGGUCGAGGGUGCCGUGAUGAAAUGGUGGAUGGGCGACGCCCGAGGCCAAUCACGCGCGACUCUGUCCGGCUCNNNCUCCUGGACCCCUUCGGCGUCUCCGGACGCUCUUUGGCGAGACCUCAGGUCAGGCGGGGCUACCCGCUGAGUUUAAGCAUAUCAAUAAGCGGAGGA
rnacentral:misc_RNA from 1 species